ACCUUCGUGGUGUAGGGAUCAGCACGCUCCGCGUGUAUUCGAGAGGUCCGUGGUUCGAAUCCCGGCGAAGGCA
rfam:Stegodyphus mimosarum contig3851, whole genome shotgun sequence.